rnacentral:sRNA from 1 species
AUUGAAUAACUAAAUACUUUGUAUAUAAUAGUAGUUCUCGGCGUUCAGUUAUCCAUUCCGUUAUCGAUUUUUUCGGUUUUAAAGUUUAGUAUCCAUUCGGUUAUUUGAAAGUUCUGUUCGGUUUCGAUUUUAAAAUUUAGUAUCCAUUCGGUUAUUUCAUUUAAAAUAUUUCGGUUAUUUUGAAUAUUUUUAAAUAUUUUUAGAUAUUUCCAAAUAUUUUUACUAUUUUAUUUAUAUUUUCAAGUAUUUUUAGUUAUUUAGUCUAGAAAUAAUUAACACUUUU